ensembl:lncRNA
UGCUCAGGCAUCUUUGCCCAAGGGUUGCUGCUACCCCAAAUAGUGUGAUCCUCACCACCCUCCUUGCUCUCCUAGCCAGAUUUGGAGUCCUGGUCACAACUCUGGGUUUGUUUGCUCAAAACACAGGUUUAAAGAAGUGGAACAAGUAGACAAAAGGAGUGUCCGCUGAUCACAGCUAACACCAUGAAGACUGAACACGGCACUGUGUCCACCGUGAGGCAGGCACUGGAAGGAGCCCUUCUAGAUGUUGCAGAAGUACAAGAUCCUUAUUGCAACCUACAAGGUCCAGAAGAAGACACUAAAGCCUGGAGAAGUUAGGUAACUUGCACAGGACACACAACUAGCAAGCAGCAGAACCAGGAUUCCAGGCCAGGGCUGCCUGACCCCCGCGGCUGUGUCUUGGUCACCACACAACACAGCUUUUCACUGAUGGCAAUCCUGCUGCUAUGCUUCCUCUAUCCCACUAAUGGACUUGGGCUGCACAAAAAUUCAGUAUUUGUCAUUCUCUUUAAAACAGCUAUUUACGUUAAUGGUGUGUUUAUUCACAUAUUUCCAG